rnacentral:miRNA from 1 species
UACAGUUGUAGGAGUCGUUUGC